rnacentral:RNase_P_RNA from 1 species
AGAGGGAACCGGGCAGUUGCGCGGUCCCGUAAGGGAAGCGAGGAAAGUCCGGACAUCACAGGGCAGGGUGCCGGGUAACACCCGGGCGUCGCGAGGCGAUGGAAAGUGCAACAGAAAACAUACCGCUAACCGGAUCCGUAAGGUUCCGGCAGUAAGGUUGAAAAGGCGAGGUAAGAGCUCACCGCGUUCCCGGUAACGGUAACGGCAGUGUAAACCCCACCCGAUGCAAGGUCAAAUAGUCAGCCGCAUGAGGGCUGCCCGCCCCAGGCUGAGGGUAGACCGCAAAGACGCGUAUGGUAACAUGCGUGCAAGAUGGAUAGCUGCUUAAACAGAAUCCGGCUUAUGGUUCCCUCUGCAG